rnacentral:rRNA from 1 species
AUUGAACGCUGGCGGCAUGCCUUACACAUGCAAGUCGAACGGUAACAGGUUAAGCUGACGAGUGGCGAACGGGUGAGUAAUGUAUCGGAACGUGCCCAGUCGUGGGGGAUAACUGCUCGAAAGAGCAGCUAAUACCGCAUACGACCUGAGGGUGAAAGCGGGGGAUCGCAAGACCUCGCGCGAUUGGAGCGGCCGAUAUCAGAUUAGGUAGUUGGUGAGGUAAAGGCUCACCAAGCCGACGAUCUGUAGCUGGUCUGAGAGGACGACCAGCCACACUGGGACUGAGACACGGCCCAGACUCCUACGGGAGGCAGCAGUGGGGAAUUUUGGACAAAGGGAGCAAGCCUGAUCCAGCCAUGCCGCGUGCGGGAAGAAGGCCUUCGGGUUGUAAACCGCUUUUGUCAGGGAAGAAAAGGUUCUGGCUAAUACCUGGGACUCAUGACGGUACCUGAAGAAUAAGCACCGGCUAACUACGUG